UGUGUGUGUGUGUGUGUAUUGGUCUCUUUGUCUUAGAAAAUUUAUUGUUUUGUGACUGUGAGUUGACAUUAAAGUUUGCUUGGUUUUGAUUCUUGAUUUAUGGCCUCACACUUAGCAAAUAUGUGUGUAAUUUGUUUGCUGUUGUUGUUCUGUUCUGUUUAGUUUCUUUUGCUAAUUGACUAAGCUUAUUGAUUAGGGAAAUAUCUAAUUAUGCUAAUGCCUACUUGACUGGAGAGAGAUGGUAUAGGUGUCUUGUGGGGAUCUUAUUUGUUGUUGCAUGUAACAGUUAUUAUUAGUUCCUUAGAAAAGCAGACCAUCACUUAUUUUAGGCGCCAUUUGCAACUAUCCAGAAUCCAGAUAGAUGUUCAUUUAACCAAGCAUGUGUUUCAUCCCGAUGGACCACUGUGUGUGAAUUGCAUUUAUGCCUGACAUACUACCAACAUGACAAUCAUUAUUGAGCAUGCAUUUCCUCUUCAUGCACCUGCACUGUUAUUUAGAUUUAAAAUUUUUUUGAAUGAUUUAAAAAUUAGUCUUUAUAACCGGGAUUCAAAAUAAGUAUUUUCUAAGUUUGGAUUUCAUUGAAAAAAUUUUUCAAUUCAUAUGUUUAAUUAAAGGAAAAAAAGUUGGGUUCUUUGAUGGUGUUCGAGCCUUUGGUUUACUUUCAUUUCUAAUUACUUUGGGCUUGCAAUCAUAUUUGCAUUGUAGUACUGCUUUAUAAGUCUUUCUUUCCAUUCUUCAUUCACUUGUAUUGGAAGUCAAUGUGCAUAUUUCUGUGCAUUGUCUUUAUUACUGCAAAUGAAGAGAUUUAGUUUUAGGGUCACAUUCAAAAAUCGAUCUAAUAUAUGGAUUUUAUGUAUAAAGUAUAUUUUAAAAACGGUUCAUAUGACCUGCAAUUUAGCUAUAGAAAUGUACAUGUGAAAGCUCAUUUCUUGUUGUGUAGCUCUCCAUCUAAGUUGGGAAGGAUUUUUUAUUUAAAUUCAUAAAGUUUCCUUUACAUUUGUUAUUAUUAGGCAGAUCAUAAAUAGGGGUAUG
rnacentral:misc_RNA from 1 species